rnacentral:rRNA from 1 species
GAUCAAGCGACUAAGUGCAUAUGGUGGAUGCCUUGGCGAUCACAGGCGAUGAAGGACGUAGUAGCCUGCGAAAAGCUACGGGGAGCUGGCAAACAAGCUUUGAUCCGUAGAUGUCCGAAUGGGGAAACCCACUGCAGCAAUGCAGUAUCCCUAGCUGAAUACAUAGGCUAGUGGAAGCGAACCGGGUGAACUGAAACAUCUCAGUAGCUCGAGGAAAAGAAAUCAACCGAGAUUCCGAAAGUAGUGGCGAGCGAAAUCGGAAGAGCCUUUACGUUUUAGCACGCAAGAUAGUCGAACGGAAUGGAAAGUCCGGCCGUAGCAGGUGAUAGCCCUGUAGGCGAAAUCUUGUGUGUGGAACUAAGCGUAAGACAAGUAGGGCGGGACACGUGAAAUCCUGUUUGAAGAUGGGGGGACCAUCCUCCAAGGCUAAAUACUCGUGAUCGACCGAUAGUGAACCAGUACCGUGAGGGAAAGGCGAAAAGAACCCCGGAAGGGGAGUGAAAUAGAUCCUGAAACCGUAUGCAUACAAACAGUAGGAGCCUCCUUGUGGGGUGACUGCGUACCUUUUGUAUAAUGGGUCAGCGACUUACAUUCAGUGGCAAGGUUAACCGAAUAGGGAAGCCGUAGCGAAAGCGAGUCCGAAUAGGGCGAUUCAGUCGCUGGGUGUAGACCCGAAACCAGAUGAUCUAUCCAUGGCCAGGUUGAAGGCACGGUAACACGUGCUGGAGGACCGAACCCACUAAUGUUGAAAAAUUAGGGGAUGAGCUGUGGAUAGGGGUGAAAGGCUAAACAAAUCUGGAAAUAGCUGGUUCUCUCCGAAAACUAUUUAGGUAGUGCCUCAAGUAUUACUGCGGGGGGUAGAGCACUGUUAUAGCUAGGGGGUCAUGGCGACUUACCAAACUAUGGCAAACUCCGAAUACCCGCAAGUACAGCUUGGGAGACAGAGCACCGGGUGCUAACGUCCGGACUCAAGAGGGAAACAACCCAGACCGCCAGCUAAGGUCCCGAAUUAUCGCUAAGUGGGAAACGAAGUGGGAAGGCAUAGACAGUCAGGAGGUUGGCUUAGAAGCAGCCAUCCUUUAAAGAAAGCGUAAUAGCUCACUGAUCGAGUCGUCCUGCGCGGAAGAUGUAACGGGGCUAAGCGAUAAACCGAAGCUGCGGGUGUGCACUUUUAGUGCACGCGGUAGGAGAGCGUUCUGUAAGCCUGCGAAGGUGGCUUGUAAAGGCUGCUGGAGGUAUCAGAAGUGCGAAUGCUGACAUGAGUAGCGAUAAAGGGGGUGAAAAGCCCCCUCGCCGUAAGUCCAAGGUUUCCUGCGCAACGUUCAUCGGCGCAGGGUGAGUCGGCCCCUAAGGCGAGGCAGAGAUGCGUAGCUGAUGGGAAACUGGUUAAUAUUCCAGUACCGUCGUACAGUGCGAUGGGGGGACGGAUCGCGGAAGAUCAUCAGGGUGUUGGAUGUCCCUGUUGCUGUAUCGAAGAUGGCGCUUAGGCAAAUCCGGGCGCGUAAAUCAAGGGUAUGGCACGAGCGAGCAUUGCUUGCGAAGUGAUUGGAAGUGGUUCCAAGA